AUGCCGCACUCUGGAGAGCGACAUCCGCUAUUGCAAGGCAAUGGUGAGCAUGUCCACCGAAGGGGCGCACGAAGCACCACGCUUCGUAAUCUCUCAGGUAUCGAGGACAGAGGGGUCAUC
rnacentral:ncRNA from 2 species